rnacentral:rRNA from 1 species
CUACGGGGCGCUGCAGUAGGGAAUAUUGGACAAUGGGGGAAACCCUGAUCCAGCAAUGCCGCGUGAGUGAUGAAGGCCUUAGGGUUGUAAAGCUCUUUCGCCUACGACGAUGAUGACGGUAGUAGGAGAAGAAGCCCCGGCUAACUUCGUGCCAGCAGCCGCGGUAAUACGAAGGGGGCUAGCGUUGUUCGGAAUUACUGGGCGUAAAGCGCGCGUAGGCGGCGUAUUAAGUCAGGGGUGAAAGGCCUGGGCUCAACCCAGGAACUGCCUUUGAGACUGAUGCGCUCGAGUCCGGAAGAGGGUAGUGGAAUUCCCAGUGUAGAGGUGAAAUUCGUAGAUAUUGGGAAGAACACCGGUGGCGAAGGCGGCUACCUGGUCCGGUACUGACGCUGAAGUGCGAAAGCGUGGGGAGCAAACAGGAUUAGAUACCCGGGUAGUC